CACCAGAGCACCGCCAGAAAGUAUUUCCAACCUGGAGAGCUCAAAAGGUGUAGAAGAAGAGGUGCCAAAUGGCUGAGAAGGCAGAGGCAUGAGCAGAUGAUGCCAUUGUUGGUGCCAGCUUGGCACGGUCACUAUCCAGAUCUGUCAGCCCUAAGUUGAACUUCCUAUGUUGGCGCAUGAUGUCCACACUACAAUAAACUCUCGAUACUGAUCAAAGUCUUUU